UACAGAGGUCCCGAGCGUUGUUCGGAUUCACUGGGCGUAAAGGGUGCGCAGGUGGCUUGGCAAGUUUGAUGUUAAAGCUCAGGGCUUAACCCUGAAAUGGCAUUGAAUACUGUUGAGCUGGAGGUUUGGAGGGGGGACUGGAAUUCUUGGUGUAGCAGUGAAAUGCGUAGAUAUCAAGAGGAACACCAGUGGCGAAGGCGAGUCCCUGGACAACACCUGACACUGAGGCACGAAAGCUAGGGGAGCAAACAGG
rnacentral:rRNA from 1 species